UAACAAGGAUUCCCCUAGUAACUGCGAGUGAAGCGGGAUAAGCUCAAAUUUAAAAUCUGGUAGCUUCGCUGCCCGAGUUGUAAUCUGGAGAAGUGCUUUCCGUGCUGGACCGUGUACAAGUCUCUUGGAACAGAGCGUCAUAGAGGGUGAGAAUCCCGUCUUUGACACGGACUACCAGUGCUUUGUGAUGCGCUCUCAAAGAGUCGAGUUGUUUGGGAAUGCAGCUCAAAAUGGGUGGUAAAUUCCAUCUAAAGCUAAAUAUUGGCGAGAGACCGAUAGCGAACAAGUACCGUGAGGGAAAGAUGAAAAGAACUUUGGAAAGAGAGUUAAACAGUACGUGAAAUUGCUGAAAGGGAAACGCUUGAAGUCAGUCGCGUUGGCCGGAACUCAGCCUGGCUUUUGCUUGGUGCAUUUUCUGGUCGACGGGUCAGCAUCAGUUUUGACUGUCGGAUAAUGGUCGGGGGAAUGUGGCAUCUUCGGAUGUGUUAUAGCCCUCGGUCGCAUACGAUGGUUGGGACUGAGGAUCUCAGCACACCUUUAUGGUCGGGGCUCGCCCACGUUUGUGCUUAGGAUGCUGGCAUAAUGGCUUUAAACGAC
rnacentral:rRNA from 1 species